rnacentral:rRNA from 1 species
AUUGAACGCUGGCGGCAGGCCUAACACAUGCAAGUCGAACGAGUGGCGGACGGGUGAGUACUGUCAGGGAAACUGCCCGAUGGAGGGGGAUAACUACUGGAAACGGUAGCUAAUACCGCAUACCAUCGGAUGUGCCCAGAUGGGAUUAGCUAGUAGGUGGGGUAACGGCUCACCUAGGCGACGAUCCCUAGAUGGUCUGAGAGGAUGACCAGCCGCACUGGAACGUAGACACGGUCCAGACGCCUACGGGAGGCAGCAGUGGGGAAUAUUGCACAAUGGGCGCAAGCCUGAUGCAGCCAUGCCGCGUGUAUGAAGAAGGCCUUCGGGGUGUAAAAUACUUUCAGCUGGGAGGCGUUACCCGCAGAAGAAGCACCGGCUAACUCCGUGCCAGCAGCCGCGGUAAUAC